rnacentral:snRNA from 1 species
ACAUCUUUUGUCAUUUAUAGAAACUAUACAUGUUUCCAUAAGAUCAAGUGUAGUAACUGUUCUUAUCAGUUUAAUAUCUGAUAUAGCUUGCUAUUGGGGCCUUUGAGUGUCGCCUUGGCGUUGCACUACUGCCUUGGCUUGGCGCACCCCUC